GAACCUUUUCCUUCAACUGUCAAGGCAUGCUCCCUAGGGUUGAGCGACAUCAACAGCUUGCUUGAGAAAUGUGCUAAAUUCUGAGAUCUGUAAAGUAGCCACAUGAAAUAACUAACUGAUUUUUGUUAACUAUUAUGCUCUCAAAAUCAGGUUAAAGUGCAGUAUUGCUAUCUUUAUUUGACUGAUCAACUAUGAAUCCUUUACCCACCACUGAGAGAGGAUAGUGCUUGCCAGUUAUCUCCAGAGUCCAUGUUGAUAAGUACUCAAAGAACAUACCCUGCAGCAACUCUGGCAGUGUGAACAUCAUCAUGCAUACAUCUUCCACUCCUGCUUUGAUUUAUAAACUUGCUGUGGGCGUCAUGUUGCAACGUAACCGAGAGAAAGUCAUUGUCAAUCAGCCCUUCUUCCCUUCAUACAGGACUGGAAGGAGCACGUGAUAGAGGCAAGGUCAUGGUGGAUGCUACUAGGUAAAGGAAUCUGCUCUCAUUUGCUCAGGCUGCAUUAACACCAAGAGUGAGAUCCAUUAACUUCAGUAUCUCAGAAGACCACACAUACUGCUGGAAUGAAGAGGAACAAAUAAGUGAAGAAUUAGGAUGUGUGGGUUGCCACCAAGUCACCCCUGAGCCUUCUCUUCUCCAGGCUGAAGAGUCCCAUGUCCCUCAGCCUCUCCUUGCAAGAGAGACCAACUGGCGGCUUUGGCAAUGGUGUCUCGAGGCAGGCUUCGGCUUCCUUGACAAUGACCGACACAUCACAACGAGGGAUGUGCUCAGCUGGGAUGGGCUUCACCUGUCCCCCAAAGGUAAGCGUGUGUUCUCUUCUAGGUUGGCAGAUCUCCUCCGGCGGGCUUUA